rnacentral:rRNA from 1 species
AUUGAACGCUGGCGGCGUGCCUAACACAUGCAAGUCGAGCGAAGCGGGGACGGGUGAGUAACAUGUGGUGAACCUCCUAUAAGGCUGGGAUAACUUCGGGAAACCGGAGCUAAUCCGGAUACUUUUCGAUGGAUCCGCGCUGCAUUUGCUAGUGGGUCAGGUAACGGCUUACCCAGGCCACGAUGCAUAGCCGACCGGAGAGGAUGAUCGGCCACACGGGAACUGAGACACGGUCCAGACUCCUACGGGAGGCAGCAGUAGGGAAUCUUCCGCAAUGGGCGAAAGCCUGACGGAGCAACGCCGCGUGAAUGAAGAAGGUCUUCGGAUCGUAAAGCACUGUUAUUAGGGAAGCGGUACCUAAACAGGAAGCAACGGCUAACUACGUGCCAGCAGCCGCGGUAAUUC